ensembl:lncRNA
ACGGUUCCUGAAGAUGUUCGGAGGACUGGUUCUUUGCCUGCUCCGAAUCCACGCAGAGAUGCUGGGCCUUCUCCUUCUUAUCUCUGCCUUCACAUCUUGCCACAUUGGGAAAGUACACCCGCAAGGCGACAACUGUGAAAAUGGAUUUAAUUGCACAAGACGACAACAAAACCUCCCAAACUGCCCAGCAGGUUUUUACUGUCCAAAUGGCGACUCCCCCCCUCUUCCGUGCCCGGAAGGCACCUUCCGCUCAACAGAAAGUUCUCCCCCGCAUGAGUGCGUGGCGUGUCCCGUCAAUUUCUUCAACGCUAAGCUCGGUCAAGCAGCUUGCUUUCCAUGCGGCUCGGAAGCCGUGCAACCGAAGGAAGGCCAAGGAACCUGCGCGUGCCUUCAAGAAGGCCGGGUGUUUCAGGUAUGGACCUCAAGUCUUCCCAACACGUAGACAGUUCACAAAGUAAUU